rnacentral:rRNA from 1 species
GGUUGCGAUCAUACCAGCACUAAUGCACCGGAUCCCAUCAGAACUCCGCAAUUAAGCGUGCUUGGGCGAGAGUAGUACUAGGAUGGGUGACCCCCUGGGAAAUCCUCGUGUUGCAACCGCC